rnacentral:rRNA from 1 species
CCUACGGGAGGCAGCAGUGGGGAAUUUUGGACAAUGGGCGCAAGCCUGAUCCAGCAAUGCCGCGUGCAGGAUGAAGGCCUUCGGGUUGUAAACUGCUUUUGUACGGAACGAAAAGGUCUGCCUUAAUACGGUGGGCCCAUGACGGUACCGUAAGAAUAAGCACCGGCUAACUACGUGCCAGCAGCCGCGGUAAUACGUAGGGUGCGAGCGUUAAUCGGAAUUACUGGGCGUAAAGCGUGCGCAGGCGGUUAUAUAAGACAGAUGUGAAAUCCCCGGGCUCAACCUGGGACCUGCAUUUGUGACUGUAUAGCUAGAGUACGGUAGAGGGGGAUGGAAUUCCGCGUGUAGCAGUGAAAUGCGUAGAUAUGCGGAGGAACACCGAUGGCGAAGGCAAUCCCCUGGACCUGUACUGACGCUCAUGCACGAAAGCGUGGGGAGCAAACAGGAUUAGAUACCCUGGUAGUCCACGCCCUAAACGAUGUCAACUGGUUGUUGGGUCUUCACUGACUCAGUAACGAAGCUAACGCGUGAAGUUGACCGCCUGGGGAGUACGGCCGCAAGGUUGAAACUUAAAUGAAAUUGACGG